rnacentral:misc_RNA from 1 species
UGCUAGGAGGCUGGAGAGG